rnacentral:rRNA from 1 species
UCCGGUUGAUCCUGCCGGACCUGACUGCUAUCGGAUUGAUACUAAGCCAUGCGAGUCAUUGUAGCAAUACAAGGCAGACGGCUCAGUAACGCGUAGUCAACCUACCCUAUGGACGGGAAUAACCUCGGGAAACUGAGUAUAAUGCCCGAUAGAACACUAUACCUGGAAUGGUUUGUGUUUCAAAUGAUUUAUUGCCAUAGGAUGGGACUGCGGCCUAUCAGUUUGUUGGUGAGGUAAUGGCCCACCAAGACUAUUACAGGUACGGGCUCUGAGAGGAGUGGCCCGGAGAUGGGUACUGAGACACGGACCCAGGCCCUAUGGGGCGCAGCAGGCGAGAAAACUUUGCAAUGUGCGAAAGCACGACAAGGUUAAUCCGAGUGGUUUCUGCUAAAGGAACCUUUUGACAGUCCUAGAAACACUGUUGAAUAAGGGGUGGGCAAGUUCUGGUGUCAGCCGCCGCGGUAAAACCAGCACCUCAAGUGGUCAGGAUGAUUAUUGGGCCUAAAGCAUCCGUAGCCGGCUCAGUAAGUUUUCGGUUAAAUCUGUACGCUUAACGUACAGGCUGCCGGGAAUACUGCAGAGCUAGGGAGUGGGAGAGGUAGACGGUACUCGGGAGGAAGUGGUAAAAUGCUUUGAUCUUUCGAUGACCACCUGUGGCGAAGGCGGUCUACCAGAACACGUCCGACGGUGAGGGAUGAAAGCUGGGGGAGCAAACCGGAUUAGAUACCCGGGUAGUCCCAGCUGUAAACUAUGCAAACUCAGUGAUGCAUUGGCUUGUGGCCAAUGCAGUGUU